rnacentral:pre_miRNA from 1 species
CCUUAACGAGAAUCUGCUACGGUUCCAGUCAGACCGGAGGGGAAAGACGGUAAUACAGGUUCGCAACC